rnacentral:rRNA from 1 species
GACAGAGGGUGCAAACGUUGCUCGGAAUUACUGGGCGUAAAGCGCGUGUAGGUGGAUUGGUGUGUCAGAUGUGAAAUCCCUGGGCUCAACCCAGGAACUGCACCUGAAACUACCAGUCUUGAGUGGUGGAGAGGGAAGUGGAAUUCCUGGUGUAGAGGUGAAAUGCGCAGAUAUCGGAAGGAACACCAGUGGCGAAAGCGGCUUCCUGGUCCAGCACCGACGUUCAGGCACGAAAGCGUGGGGGAGCAAACAGG